rnacentral:rRNA from 1 species
AUGAAUCAAAACUUUCAACAACGGAUCUCUUGGUUCUGGCAUCGAUGA